rnacentral:rRNA from 1 species
UACGUAGGGUGCAAGCGUUAUCCGGAAUUACUGGGCGUAAAGGGCUCGUAGGCGGCCAACUAAGUCAGACGUGAAAUCCCUCGGCUUAACCGGGGAACUGCGUCUGAUACUGGAUGGCUUGAGGUUGGGAGAGGGAUGCGGAAUUCCAGGUGUAGCGGUGAAAUGCGUAGAUAUCUGGAGGAACACCGAUGGCGAAGGCAGGUCUCUGGGCUGACACUGACGCUCAUGCACGAAAGCGUGGGGAGCAAACAGG